rnacentral:rRNA from 1 species
GAUGAACGCUGGCGGCGUGCCUAAUACAUGCAAGUCGAGCGAACAGACGAGGAGCUUGCUCCUCUGACGUUAGCGGCGGACGGGUGAGUAACACGUGGAUAACCUACCUAUAAGACUGGGAUAACUUCGGGAAACCGGAGCUAAUACCGGAUAAUAUAUUGAACCGCAUGGUUCAAUAGUGAAAGACGGUUUUGCUGUCCCUUAUAGAUGGAUCCGCGCCGCAUUAGCUAGUUGGUAAGGUAACGGCUUACCAAGGCAACGAUGCGUAGCCGACCUGAGAGGAUGAUCGGCCACACUGGAACUGAGACACGGUCCAGACUCCUACGGGAGGCAGCAGUAGGGAAUCUUCCGCAAUGGGCGAAAGCCUGACGGAGCAACGCCGCGUGAGUGAUGAAGGUCUUCGGAUCGUAAAACUCUGUUAUUAGGGAAGAACAAAUGUGUAAGUAACUAUGCACGUCUUGACGGUACCUAAUCAGAAAGCCACGGCUAACUACGUG